rnacentral:tRNA from 1 species
GCUUCGGUAGUUCAGUGGUAGAACGCCCGUCCAAAACAACGGUGCGGGCGACCCGGGUUCAAAUCCCGGCCGAUGCA